UCUUUUGGGCGGGGGUCAAGAGCAAUAACGAAAAAUGUUUGUUUUUCGUAAACCGUUUUUCAUUAUUGCUCCUGACCCCCUCUCAUGGGUUAUAGCCA
rnacentral:pre_miRNA from 7 species